CCCUUAGAUGUUCUGGGCCGCACGCGCGCUACACUGACGAUGGCAACGAGUUUUUCCUUCGCCGAAAGGUGUGGGUAAUCUUUUGAAACAUCGUCGUGCUGGGGAUAGAUCAUUGCAAUUUUUGAUCUUGAACGAGGAAUUCCUAGUAAGCGCGAGUCAUCAGCUCGCGUUGAUUACGUCCCUGCCCUUUGUACACACCGCCCGUCGCUACUACCGAUUGAAUGGUUUAGUGAGGACUCCUGCUUGGCGCCGCCGCCCCGGCAACGGAGCAGCGGACUGCCGAAAAGUUGUUCAAACUUGAUCAUUUAGAGGAAGUAAAAGUCGUAACA
rnacentral:rRNA from 1 species